rnacentral:rRNA from 1 species
UACGGAGGGAGCUAGCGUUGUUCGGAAUUACUGGGCGUAAAGCGCACGUAGGCGGCUUUGUAAGUCAGAGGUGAAAGCCUGGAGCUCAACUCCAGAACUGCCUUUGAGACUGCAUCGCUUGAAUCCAGGAGAGGUGAGUGGAAUUCCGAGUGUAGAGGUGAAAUUCGUAGAUAUUCGGAAGAACACCAGUGGCGAAGGCGGCUCACUGGACUGGUAUUGACGCUGAGGUGCGGAAAGCGUGGGGAGCAAACAGG